rnacentral:rRNA from 1 species
GAUGAACGCUGGCGGCGUGCUUAACACAUGCAAGUCGAACGAAACACCUUAUUUGAUUUUCUUCGGAACUGAAGAUUUGGUGAUUGAGUGGCGGACGGGUGAGUAACGCGUGGGUAACCUGCCCUGUACAGGGGGAUAACAGUCAGAAAUGACUGCUAAUACCGCAUAAGACCACAGCACCGCAUGGUGCAGGGGUAAAAACUCCGGUGGUACAGGAUGGACCCGCGUCUGAUUAGCUGGUUGGUGAGGUAACGGCUCACCAAGGCGACGAUCAGUAGCCGGCUUGAGAGAGUGAACGGCCACAUUGGGACUGAGACACGGCCCAAACUCCUACGGGAGGCAGCAGUGGGGAAUAUUGCACAAUGGGGGAAACCCUGAUGCAGCGACGCCGCGUGAGUGAAGAAGUAUUUCGGUAUGUAAAGCUCUAUCAGCAGGGAAGAAAAUGACGGUACCUGACGAAGAAGCCCCGGCUAACUACGUG